CCUACGGGAGGCAGCAGUCGAGAAUCUUCCMCAAUGGACGAAAGUCUGAUGGAGCGACGCCGCGUGAUUGAUGAAGUUCUUCGGAACGUAAAGAUCUUUUAUGAGGGAAGAAGUUUAUUGACGGUACCUCAUGAAUAAGGGGCUCCUAAUCUCGUGCCAGCAGGAGCGUAAUACGAGAGCCCCGAGCGUUAUCCGGAUUUAUUGGGCGUAAAGCGUAAAAAGGUGGCGCUGUUAGUCGAAUGUGAAAGCCCCAGGCUUAACCUGGGAAACGCGUUCGAAACGCAGUGCUUGAGGACAGGAGAGGUGUGCGGAACUCAUGGUGUAGGGGUGAAAUCCGUUGAUAUCAUGGGGAACACCAAAAGCGAAGGCAGCACACUGGCCUGUAUCUGACACUGUAUUACGAAAGCGUGGGUAGCGAAUGGGAUUAGAUACCCCAGUAGUCCACGCCCUAAACGAUGCAUUCUAGUUAUUCGGAGUAUCGACCCACUGAGUGACGUAGCUAACGCGUUAAGAAUGCCGCCUGGGAAGUACGAUCGCAAGAUUAAAACUCAAAGGAAUUGACGG
rnacentral:rRNA from 1 species